rnacentral:tRNA from 1 species
CUUUAGUUAGUAUAAUCGUACAUUUACCUUCCAAGUAAAAAGUCUACAAUGUAGCCUAAAGA